GAGUUUGAUCGUGGCUCAGAUUGAACGCUGGCGGCAUGCCUUACACAUGCAAGUCGAACGGCAGCAUGAUCUAGCUUGCUAGAUUGAUGGCGAGUGGCGAACGGGUGAGUAAUACAUCGGAACGUGCCCUGUAGUGGGGAUAACUAGUCGAAAGAUUAGCUAAUACCGCAUACGACCUGAGGGUGAAAGUGGGGGACCGCAAGGCCUCAUGCUAUAGGAGCGGCCGAUGUCUGAUUAGCUAGUUGGUGGGGUAAAGGCCCGACCAAGGCGACGAUCAGUAGCUGGUCUGAGAGGACGAUCAGCCACACUGGGACUGAGACACGGCCCAGACUCCUACGGGAGGCAGCAGUGGGGAAUUUUGGACAAUGGGCGAAAGCCUGAUCCAGCAAUGCCGCGUGUGUGAAGAAGG
rnacentral:rRNA from 1 species